rnacentral:rRNA from 1 species
GACGAACGCUGGCGGCGUGCCUAAUACAUGCAAGUGGGACGCAAGGAAACACACUGUGCUUGCACACCGUGUUUUCUUGAGUCGCGAACGGGUGAGUAACGCGUAGGUAACCUGCCUAUUAGCGGGGGAUAACUAUUGGAAACGAUAGCUAAUACCGCAUAAUAUUAAUUAUUGCAUGAUAAUUGAUUGAAAGAUGCAAGCGCAUCACUAGUAGAUGGACCCGCGUUGUAUUAGCUAGUUGGUAAGGUAAGAGCUUACCAAGGCGACGAUACAUAGCCGACCUGAGAGGGUGAUCGGCCACACUGGGACUGAGACACGGCCCAGACUCCUACGGGAGGCAGCAGUAGGGAAUCUUCGGCAAUGGACGAAAGUCUGACCGAGCAACGCCGCGUGAGUGAAGAAGGUUUUCGGAUCGUAAAGCUCUGUUGUAAGUCAAGAACGUGUGUGAGAGUGGAAAGUUCACACAGUGACGGUAGCUUACCAGAAAGGGACGGCUAACUACGUG